GUGCCAGCCGCCGCGGUAAUACGGGGGGGGCUAGCGUUGUUCGGAAUUACUGGGCGUAAAGCGCACGUAGGCGGAUCAGAAAGUUGGGGGUGAAAUCCCGGGGCUCAACCUCGGAACUGCCUUCAAAACUAUUGGUCUUGAGUUCGAGAGAGGUGAGUGGAAUUCCGAGUGUAGAGGUGAAAUUCGUAGAUAUUCGGAGGAACACCAGUGGCGAAGGCGGCUCACUGGCUCGAUACUGACGCUGAGGUGCGAAAGCGUGGGGAGCAAA
rnacentral:rRNA from 1 species